CCCUGGUUAGCUCAGUUGGUAGAGCGCUCCACCUAUAAUGGAGAGGUCCCGGGUUCGAUACCCGGACCAGGCG
rnacentral:tRNA from 1 species